rnacentral:lncRNA from 1 species
GGGUCAAGUUUGAUGCAAUGAUCACUGGGAGGGUGUCAUUAGGUCCUAGGAAUGCAUACUUGAGUGCGAUCGAAAAUGGCUUUAAUUCUAGUAUAGGUGGUGAUUCUAAUGACGGAACUGCAGGUGUAAUGGCUAAUGCGGGCAAUGGCUCGUACUUGAUUGUCCAAGGGAGAGUAGUUUCAACAUUUGAUGUAUCAACUAGAGUGUUUAUUUCUUCAUUACCUCCCUCCAUAUCACA